UGAACGCUGGCGGCGUGCUUAACACAUGCACGUCGAACGAAGCACUUUAUUUGAUUUCCUUCGGGACUGAUUAUUUUGUGACUGAGUGGCGGACGGGUGAGUAACGCGUGGGUAACCUGCCUUGUACAGGGGGAUAACAGUUGGAAACGGCUGCUAAUACCGCAUAAGCGCACGGCAUCGCAUGAUGCAGUGUGAAAAACUCCGGUGGUAUAAGAUGGACCCGCGUUGGAUUAGCUAGUUGGUGAGGUAACGGCCCACCAAGGCGACGAUCCAUAGCCGACAUGGGAGGGGGCCGGGCAACAGGGGGACUGAGACCCGGCCAAACCUCCUACGGGAGGCAGCGGGGGGGAAUAUUGCAAAAGGGGCGAAAGCCGGAUGCAGCGACGCCGCGGGAGGAAAGAAGUUUUUCGGUAUGAAAAGCUCUAUAAGAAGGAAAGAUAAGGCGGGUCCCGGACAAAGAAGCACCGGCAAAAUCCGUG
rnacentral:rRNA from 1 species